AAUAAUUUACAAGUCAAUGAUAGUUCCGCACACAACUGCUUGACAGGAUCAUUGC
rnacentral:sRNA from 1 species